rnacentral:ribozyme from 1 species
AUCUAACAAAUAACAAGAACAUGUGAGAAGAGCAACAAAGUGGCAACAAGAGAAAACGAACCAUUCAUGUGCAUAAAUAAAGAAUGGCGUCGUAGAUCAGCGUUUUUCGUCUUUUCAUUUGUUCCGUUGCUUUUUUUUUUUUUUUUU